CCGUAGAAUGUGUGUAUAUGUGUGUGAAUAUAGGCAUGUAUUUGUAUUCAUGUGUAUCGGGUGUGUGUAUAUAUUCAUGUACAGUUAUAAUCGUUGUUUCUCUACCUUUUUAUGGAUCUGUUCCCAUUUUCUUACUCAUUUUCCUCACAGCCAUCAGCAAGCAGACAUUUGGGAAAGAGACAAGGGUUGCAGUCUCUGUCGUAGCAGAUAAAGCAAGUGCUUUGGUGUCAUGGGCUAAAACUACAGCUGUCACAAUUUUUACCUACAUGACCUUGCUAUAGUUGCUCAUCAUGUCUGGCCUCGGUUUUUUUAUCUGUAUAAUGUAGAUUGUCCUAUUUACCUUAAAAGAUUUUAAGCAGUCAAGACAUACAGUGUGUAAACUUCUCCACUUACCCCUUCUCAGGCCAGGCUGGUUACCAUCAGGAUGCACUUCCAUACUACCCCUCAGCAUUUAUCAUACUGCAUUGCAACCAUGAGCCUCCUGAAUUAGCAUUUUGAAGACAAUGACUUUGCUAUUUUUCCCAUUUUUUUCCCAAGAAUGUGAUGAAAUGAUGGCUAUACAGUGAAAGAAUGAAUCAUGGCAUAUGUUAAAGUGUACAAUAAAUAAUAAUAUUAUUAAUGCCAUUGUUGUAUUACCUAGAUGCAUGAAAAGCAAACCUAUCAUUUGGUCCCAGUGGCAAGAAAGGUGAUUAACAAAAUCGCAGUGACACAACAAGUAUUUGCAUCCAAUCCGGACUUUUACUUACCAUAUGCCCAUGUUAACUAAUGAUCUCCCAAGUUAACUGAGCAAUGCCACUAGGAAAAAAAAAAAAUCACUUUUAAGCUAAUCUUAUAGGGUGGAAAAAUGCAAAUUAAAAGUACCCAGCUUCAGCUGAUCUUUUUUAGCUGAUAUUUAUUAUCCUUAAUGUAAAAUCUCAUGGCUUCCAAGCUUCCAGAGCUACAUUUUCUUAUGUGUAAUAAAUCUGUAUAUCAGCUGAUCUUAAAGUGAAGCUGAGUACAUCAUGACUGCUAAACUAAGGCAUGUUAAGAGAAUUACAGAAUAAGUCAUUAAAUAAAUACAUGUGACAGUGAUAAUUAUUAGCAAAAACAAAGACUAAAAAAUACAGAUAUUCUUCUAGCUUAUCAAAUUCUAGAAGAAUGACAUUCCUGCUUUUUUUUUUCCUACAAAGAACAUAAUCUUUUUCUUAAGCUCUGCAUGCAUGCUGUGAAAUGUCUUUCUCUUAUUAAUUUCCCUUUUUCACUCAGUUUUUAGGCAGCUGAAAAUUAUGAGUUUAUAGGACAAGAUGUAUUUUGAAUUCUUAUUUUAUGGCCGAUACUAUGGCAUGCCCUAUUAUGAAAACAGUUCUAAACUGUGGGUUAUUUUGUUAGAUGGUGCAAUUUAUAUUCUGAAGAUACUAGCAGUACUAGGAAACAGACAAAUUUAAUAAAAGACACAGUGUUCCUGUUGUCCUAAUAAUUAUUGAAAUGAAACUCUUCCCGGAAGACAUUUACAGUAUCUUUUCAAAGAUAGUCUGCAUACUUUGACAGAUCACUUGGGCCUCUAGAUAUGAAUAGCAACAUCAUAGAUUUUAGAAACAUACUGUACUAAGGAAGAAGGGGCCUUUAUAAUUAUCCAGGCUGGCUCUUUCAUUUUAUGGGAGAGGACACGAGGCUGAGAGAAUUCUUAGUGUAACCUAAUUCAUGUCUAAGUUGUGAUAGAACUGAAGUGCCUUGACACCUAGUCAAGGAUUCCUUCCCCUCAGUAAUAGCAAUAAUCUUGUAGGGCACAUAGGCAUUACUAAAUAUAUCAUCCCACAAUAACUUCACAGGCAAACAGGAAAGAUCUAGUUUUUAUCAGUUCUCAAAGCAGAAACCAUAGUUUUGAGGGGAUAAGUAACUUAGUUAUUGUCCACUGUCAUUUUGAAAAAAAAUUUUAUUGUUAUUUCCCCAAUACAAUUUUUUUUCUACUGUACAGCAUGGUGACCCAGUGACACAUACCUGCAUACAUUCUUUUUUCUCACAUUAUCAUGCUCCUUCAUAAGUGACUAGACAUAGUUCCCCAUGCUACACAGCAAGAUCUCAUUGCUAAUCCAUUCCAAAAGCAGUAGUUUGCAUCUACUAACCCCAAGUUCCCAAUCCAUUACAGAACUUUCCUUAAAAAAGACAUAUGCACCUGCAUGUUCAUUGCAGCACUAUUCACAGUAGCCAAGACAUGGAAGCAACCCAAAUGUCCAUCGACAGAUGAUUGGGUCAGGAAGAUGUGGUAAAUAUAUACAAUGGAAUACUACUCAGCCAUAAGAAAAAAACAGAAUAGUGCCAUUUGCAGCAACAUGGAUGAAACUAGAGAUGCUACUAUCAUUUUGAUUAUUUAUCUACUUAUAUAUAUUUUUGAAGUGUCUCUUAAUAAGUUUCACAAGAUCAGGAAGUAUGAUUAUUUGGAAUACUGCAGAAUUCCCUACACUUAGAGCAUAUCUAACACAUAGAAUUCAGUCAAUAAAUAUUUGUUAAUAAAUAAAAUUUAAUAGCUAUAAUAGGGACUACAGAUAUUUAUAAAAAACUAGGACUGACCUCUAAGAGGUACAUCAAGAACUAUAUGCAUACACAUACAUACACACAUUAUAUACAACAUAAAGCAGAAUAUACUAAAUGCCACACAAUGGCAUAAAUAAGUUUUAAGAUAAAGCAGUCAUGUGACUAUUGCAGCAAAAAAUAUACAAAUUUUUCUAAGUAGCUACAAAGUCAGACAAUUAUAGAAGAUAUAUCUGAAUUGAGUGACAGCCUCAGCUAUGCUGAUCAGCUCUGGGUGCUGGAAGGUGAGGACUGGCAGAUGUAGGGAAACUGGAUCUAUAGGGUGCCUGUAAGGUGAGUAGACAGCAAGAUAAAUGGGUGAGAGUGUUUGGGAGUCUAACAGGAUGUGGUCUGAGAAUGGUCAAAAGGUGUUUGAGAAAAAACAACUUUUUUUAGAGAUGUAGAAGUAAAAAUGGUAGCCAAAUAUUAAAAAAGAAACUAUUGAUAGUAAGAGGUUGGUUGUGAUACAUGGUCAUGACUUUGUAAAGAGGUGGUGCAAAGAAAGAAGGGAGGAAGGAAGGAAGAAAGGAAGGAAGGAAAUUUCUCUGGAAGUGCCUUUCCCUCCCUCUUCUGCCUCCACACUUCUCUUUGAUAAAGCCUUUCGCAGCUUUCUAAACAGAGUUAAGCCUUUUGUUCUUCAGCUUCUAAAGAAUUUUCGAUUCUUGGUAUCGUAAUAUUUAAAGUAUAUUCUGCAUUUAUUUGUUGAUGAGUUUUCCCUUUUAGAUCAUAAAUUUCUUCAGGUCAGAGUUCAAGGUCAACAUAUAGAAAGUGUUUACUAAAUAUCUGUUUAAGGAACAGAUUAAUUCUGAUAUGAUUUCCUAUGGUGUAAAGAAGUAAUGAAUUUCAGAAGGAACAGGAAGUAGGGGUGAUGAAAUUGAAUUUUUUUAAACUUGCUACCAGAGUAGAAAUUGGGAGAGCCUAAGGUUAGCAAAAGCACACAACAAAAAUAUAAGAGUUUCGGUGACAGUAAUAACUCCUAGCAUAUUUAACACUUGGUAAAGGUCUAAAUAGUUGAAAGAAGUAACAUUUACUUAUCAGAAGAAUUCUAUGAUAUUAACAUUAUUAAUUAGUUAUAUAUUAAAUGUAUAACGUAACAUAUACUAUUGAAAACAUUAUUAUUUUCUAGAUGAGGAAAACCGAAGUUUAGUAGAGAAGUUAAAUAAUUUGUCCCAGUGUCCUAGGUUAGCAUAGCAUAGCUAGCAAUGAAAAUGACCCUGAAUCAUAUCUCUUCUGGAAACAAGAGAGUAGGAGUCCAGUAAAUCAGAGAGUUCCUCCUCAUAAGAAUCAGCAUAUUUCUUCAAUAGUUGCUCUUCUUUACUUGCAGCCUUCAAAACCAAAAUGCUGGUUACAAACCAUAUUUUAUGCAGAUUUCUUGAAUACUCAGUUCCUGUGUUUUAUCCCAGAGAUGGGAUGGGGAGAAUGCAGCACAGAGGGAGAGGUGAACCAUACCUGUGCUCUAUCCCACAGCCUACUCAUUGCUUCAAGUCUUGCCAGCCCCGACUUGUAGGAGCCUUGGACCUGAGCAUGUUUGUUCCUACCUUAACACUUAGAUGGAGGGUUGGAAUGGAAUAUCUUUACAUGAUUGCGUCUCUGGUAUAGGAGAGUAGCAUUCCACCAUUCAUGCAUUUAUUCACUCAAUAUUUCACAUCCACACAGUUGGUGAAGAGCAUUCAUUCAUUUCUGGGAACACUAAUUCACUCAUCAUUCUCUACCCAUUCAGUUGAUUAAAAACAUUCAUUCAUUGUUGGGAGUUUCCAUUGUGGUGCAGUGGUAAGGAAUCCUACUAGUAUCCAUGAGGAUGCAGGUUCGUU
rnacentral:lncRNA from 1 species